rnacentral:rRNA from 1 species
GCCCACAUGAUACGACCCUAUAAACAAUAAAUAAUAGAAGCAACUAAACAUAUAAUACAUAAAAGUACAGAAAUGGAAAACCCAAUAAAUAAAAGUAAUUAUUAAAAAAUAUACCUUGUGCAUUAUGGUUUUACAAGAAAAUAAUUUAAAACCUAAAUCCCGAAUUCUAAAUGAGAUGUUAAACUGCUGUUAUGAACCCAUUAAUAACUGUGGAAAAAGUUUUAAAAGACAGUUUAACAGAGGCUACAUACCAUUCGCAUAAGAAUAUAGCUGGUUUUCAACAAACAUUAUACAUUAAAACAUAUAAUUAUAUUAUAGUGUAAAAUUACUGAGGAUAAGCCCAAUAAUUUAAUGCAAUAUGUUAAAAUAUCUAUUAACACCUAUAGGCCUAAAAUCAGCCAACUAAAAUACUUUACCGUAAUUAAAACAGAUAAAUAUACAUAAAUUAGUUAUGCUAAAAAAAGUUGAAGUAGUGGGUAAAUUAUAUGCCCCACUUACAUUAUGUAAAAAUAAGUAUUUAUAUAUUAUAAACAAUAUUAUACAAGAAAUAACACCAAAUAAAUAAUAAAAAUUAAUUAAGGAACUCGGCAAAUACUUAUUUCGACUGUUUAACAAAAACAUUGUCUUAUGUAGUAACAUAUAAGAUAAUACCUGCCCAGUGACAACUUGUUCAACGGCCGCGGUAUCCUAACCGUGCAAAGGUAGCAUAAUCACUUGCCUAUUAAUUGUAGGCUAGAAUGAAGGGGUUAACGAAAUAAAAGCUGUCUCAAUUAAUUACCUAAAAAUUAUUCUCUAUCUGAAGAAAGGUAGAUAAACUCGAAGGACAAGAAGACCCUAUAGAGCUUAAUUUUAAUUAUAGAACUACACUAUAAAAAUAUUCGGUUGGGGCGACCCAGGGCUAAUUAAUCACCCAUUAAAUAUAAGAUAUAUAAAUCAACUAAAUGACCCUUCAAAGAUCAUAAAAACAAGCUACCUUAGGGAUAACAGGCUAAUCCCACUCAAGAGUCCUUAUCAACAGUGGGGUUUGGCACCUCGAUGUUGGCUUAGGGUAUCUAUUUAGCGCAAAAGUUAAAUAAAGAUGGUUUGUUCAACCAAUAAUUCCCUACAUGAGCUGAGUUCAGACCGGCGUGAGCCAGGUUAGCUUCUAUCCUCGACAUAAGUAUUUUACUCCUAGUACGAAAGGACCUGAGUAAAAUAAUAAUUAUUUUAAAGAAUUCCUAUAACUAAAUAUUAAUACCAAAAACUAAAAACUAUA